rnacentral:lncRNA from 1 species
AAAAAACCAAAUAUUCAAUCACGGAGGCAUCUAUUUGGGGGAAACUGAAUGGUUCUGGUUCAACAAUUAGUUUACUAUUGGCAAACCUAGAACACAUGCUCGAAUCUUUAGAGUUGGGAUAUUCAAUCAUGGAGGAAUUAUUUGGGGGAAAAUGAAGGGUUUGAUGGUGGGGGUGGAGUGAGUAAGCAACUGUCUGGAAUUUGAGCCUUCUUCAUCCUAUCUUUCAUUGCAGAUCUGCCCCUUUUCCUUGUUGGAUUCUUAAUUGACUUGACAGCCACCAAUUUUCUCAUAUCCUCUCUCAUUUGCGAGCAAACAUGUUUUCUCUUUCGACUUUAAGAUCUUGUAAUAGGGAAUUUGCAGCCUUCGCUGUCGUUGCCGUCGGAAGUGGUGGUGGUUGUGUGGAGCUUGGUUAAGAAUUGAUGGGAUGGAGUGGUGUAAGAAGAAAUUAGUAGAAAGAAAAUGGAAGUAGGUGUUGUUGCUGCCAAUUUUGGUGUGUUGAUGAUGAUGAUGAUUUGGGGCUAAGAUGUGAAGGAGACACAAGGAUGAGGAGAGAGAGACGAAGGAUAG